rnacentral:rRNA from 1 species
CGCGGCCUAUCAGCUUGUUGGUGGGGUAGUGGCCUACCAAGGCGACGACGGGUAGCCGGCCUGAGAGGGCGACCGGCCACACUGGGACUGAGACACGGCCCAGACUCCUACGGGAGGCAGCAGUGGGGAAUAUUGCGCAAUGGGCGAAAGCCUGACGCAGCGACGCCGCGUGAGGGAUGACGGCCUUCGGGUUGUAAACCUCUUUCAGCAGGGACGAAGCGCAAGUGACGGUACCUGCAGAAGAAGCACCGGCUAACUACGUGCCAGCAGCCGCGGUAAUACGUAGGGUGCGAGCGUUGUCCGGAAUUAUUGGGCGUAAAGAGCUCGUAGGCGGUUUGUCGCGUCGACUGUGAAAACCUACAGCUUAACUGUGGGCUUGCAGUCGAUACGGGCAGACUUGAGUUCGGUAGGGGAGACUGGAAUUCCUGGUGUAGCGGUGAAAUGCGCAGAUAUCAGGAGGAACACCGGUGGCGAAGGCGGGUCUCUGGGCCGAUACUGACGCUGAGGAGCGAAAGCGUGGGGAGCGAACAGGAUUAGAUACCCUGGUAGUCCACGCCGUAAACGGUGGGAACUAGGUGUGGGGGACUUCCACGUCCUCCGUGCCGUAGCUAACGCAUUAAGUCCCCGCCUGGGGA